UCCCAGCUCAUCGAACUGAAUCAGGCUAAACCUCUGUCAGCAGUUGUGAAAGAAGUCUGUGAAGUGUGGAACCUGAAUAAUUCCGAGCGCUAUGCUCUGCAAUACGUGGAUGGCCAGCAAGCCUACAUUACAGAACUGGUGAGUGGAUUUGAG